GGUGCUUGCACCUUUCAAGUGAGUGGCGAACGGGUGAGUAACACGUGGACAACCUACCUCAAGGCUGGGGAUAACAUUUGGAAACAGAUGCUAAUACCGAAUAAAACUUAGUGUCGCAUGACACAAAGUUAAAAGGCGCUUCGGCGUCACCUAGAGAUGGAUCCGCGGUGCAUUAGUUAGUUGGUGGGGUAAAGGCCUACCAAGACAAUGAUGCAUAGCCGAGUUGAGAGACUGAUCGGCCACAUUGGGACUGAGACACGGCCCAAACUCCUACGGGAGGCUGCAGUAGGGAAUCUUCCACAAUGGGCGAAAGCCUGAUGGAGCAACGCCGCGUGUGUGAUGAAGGCUUUCGGGUCGUAAAGCACUGUUGUAUGGGAAGAACAGCUAGAAUAGGAAAUGAUUUUAGUUUGACGGUACCAUACCAGAAAGGGACGGCUAAAUACGUGCCAGCAGCCGCGGUAAUACGUAUGUCCCGAGCGUUAUCCGGAUUUAUUGGGCGUAAAGCGAGCGCAGACGGUUUAUUAAGUCUGAUGUGAAAGCCCGGAGCUCAACUCCGGAAUGGCAUUGGAAACUGGUUAACUUGAGUGCAGUANAGGUAAGUGGAACUCCAUGUGUAGCGGUGGAAUGCGUAGAUAUAUGGAAGAACACCAGUGGCGAANGCGGCUUACUGGACUGCAACUGACGUUGANGCUCGAAAGUGUGGGUAGCAAACAGGAUUAGAUACCCUGGUAGUCCACACCGUAAACGAUGAACACUNNUGUUAGNAGGUUUCCGCCUCUUANUGCCGAAGCUAACGCAUUAAGUGUUCCGCCUGGGGAGUACGACCG
rnacentral:rRNA from 1 species